rnacentral:tRNA from 1 species
GGGAGCUUGGCUCAGUUGGAAGAGCGCAGGUCUCAUACUACGGUAUGAUCUGGCUACACGCCAGAGCAAUCCUGAGGUCGUGAGUUCGAGCCUCACAGUUCCCA